rnacentral:tRNA from 1 species
AAGAAUAUAGUUAAUUAUAACAUUUGACCUGCAAUCAAAAAGUAUUGAACACAAUUUUUCUUA